rnacentral:rRNA from 1 species
CUCGGCCUCAGAUCAGACAAGGCUACCCGCUGAAUUUAAGCAUAUUAAUAAGCGGAGGAAAAGAAACUAACAAGGAUUCCCCCAGUAACGGCGAGUGAAGCGGGAUCAGCUCAAAUUUAAAAUCUCCGUUGCUUGCAACGGCGAAUUGUAGUUUCGAGAAGCGCUUUCUAGGCGGACCGGCUGCGCCUAAGUUGCUUGGAACAGCACGUCAUAGAGGGUGACAACCCCGUCUGUGGCGUAGGCGGCCGCUCACGAUGUGCUUUCGAAGAGUCGGGUUGUUUGGGAAUGCAGCCCAAAAUGGGUGGUAAACUCCAUCUAAAGCUAAAUAUUGGCACGAGACCGAUAGCGAACAAGUACCGUGAGGGAAAGAUGAAAAGGACUUUGGAAAGAGAGUUAAAAAGUACGUGAAACCGUUAAAAGGGAAACGAAUGGAGCUAGCAAUGCACCCAGCGAGAUUCAGCUGGUUGGUGGCUCGGCCGCGAUGUUUGCAGAUCUGAAUUGACUGCGGCUUUGCGGUUCGAACUCCCUGCCAUCGCACUUCUCGCGGGCGCGCGUCAACAUGGGUUGGGACCGGGUCUAAACGGCACCGGCAAGGUAGGUCCGCACCUCCGGGUACGUACUGUUCUAGGCCGGCGCUCUCGCGGCCCGGACCCGACCGAGGCGAUGCAGCACAUGCCUCUUGUGGCUGGAGUCCCGUUCUUCCGGUUGGUUGUCGACUGUGGUGGACUGCGUGCAGUGCACCGCGACUGCUGCCGGUCGCUUGGGCGGCGACUUCGCAAGAUGUGCUUAGGAUGUUGGCGGUCAUAUGGCUUCAUCCGACCCGUCUUGAAACACGGACCAAGGAGUCUACCAUAUGCGCGAGUCUUUGGGUGAUUGAAACCCGCGGGCACAAUGAAAGUGAAGGCGGCUCCGGCCUGCCGAGGUGAGAACCUCCCCUCACGGGGUGGCGCAUCAUCGACCGACCUAUUCUACUCUUAGGAAGGUUUGAGUAAGAGCGCAUUUGUUGGGACCCGAAAGAUGGUGAACUAUGCCUGAAUAGGGUGAAGCCAGAGGAAACUCUGGUGGAGGCUCGUAGCGAUUCUGACGUGCAAAUCGAUCGUCAAAUUUGGGUAUAGGGGCGAAAGACUAAUCGAACUGUCUAGUAGCUGGUUCCCUCCGAAGUUUCCCUCAGGAUAGCAGGAGCUCUGUGCAGUUUUAUCAGGUAAAGCGAAUGAUUAGAGGUCUUAGGGUUAAAACAACCUUAACCUAUUCUCAAACUUUAAAUUGGUAAGAAGUCCGACUUGCUCGAUUGAAGCCGGACGUGGAAUGCGAGUUCCUAGUGGGCCAUUUUUGGUAAGCAGAACUGGCGAUGCGGGAUGAACCGAACGCCGAGUUAAGGUGCCAAAGUCGACGCUCAUCAGACCCCACAAAAGGUGUUGGUUGCUAUAGACAGCAGGACGGUGGCCAUGGAAGUCGGAAUCCGCUAAGGAGUGUGUAACAACUCACCUGCCGAAGCAACUAGCCCUGAAAAUGGAUGGCGCUCAAGCGUCGCACCUAUACUCGGCCGUCGGGGCAAACGCGAAGCCCCGACGAGUAGGAGGGCGUGGGGGUCGUGACGCAGCCUUUGGCGUGAGCCUGGGUGAAACGGCCUCUAGUGCAGAUCUUGGUGGUAGUAGCAAAUAUUCAAAUGAGAGCUUUGAAGACCGAAGUGGAGAAAGGUUCCAUGUGAACAGCAGUUGGACAUGGGUUAGUCGAUCCUAAGAGAUAGGGAAACUCCGUUUGAAAGUGCCCAAUUGCGGGCCGCCUAUCGAAAGGGAAUCGGGUUAAUAUUCCCGAACCGGAACACGGAUAUCGCCACCUAGUGGCGGAUGCGGUAACGCAACCGAACCCGGAGACGCCGGCGGGAGCCCUGGGAAGAGUUCUCUUUUCUUUUUAACGGACUUUCACCCUGAAAUCAGCUUGCCUGGAGAUAGGGUUUAAUGUCCGGUAA